ACUCGUGGAUGGUUAAGAUGGUGGCUUUGGGAUCCGCCUGGCGGCCAUUGUGCAACCUUCCAAGAGGAAGGCGACCGCCUGCGCCGUCUUUGCACAGCUGCCGGCGUACAGGUGCCUCAGUACCUCAGGGCCGUGUUGGACACUGAGCAGGAUGAGCUAUCAUUACAGACUAGAAUUUCUGAUGUCUCUGUGACUCCACUGCUUGGAACUGACCCAGCCCAGGGCAGAGGGACUCGUCUGGUAGUCGCCCUGGUUUCUGCUAACUCACUGGUUUCUUCCCAGGUCCCUGAUUCUUGAAGGAGGGUCCGCAGCGCCUCGAAGGGGUUUAAGACGUUCACCGGUGUGUUAUUUUUGAAUAAAGCUUGAGAGCUUUGGAAGCCCAGCAGGGGCAGUGCCCCUUCACAGAGAUUCAGGGAUAGCCUGGUGGCUGAAGGCCUAAAGUUUGGAAUUCUUCUCCUGGAGAAGUGCUGAUGGGAUAGCUGGGAUGCCUAGGUAAUGGUUCCUGCCACUUCAUCAACAAGCUGUGACAAGAAGUGGAGAGUAGCAUGCCUUCUACGUGGGUACUGUGAAUUUUGCUGACACAAAGGAUGUUCUCUACCUGGGGUUGGACAGGUCCUCGGAACCUCACAUCUUUCCUGCAUUAACCCACGUGAGCAGCUGUCAACCUCCUGGGGUGGAGGGAGGGCACUGCGUAGAAAUUUGGGGACCAAAAUCAAUUAGGUGGCCUUUACUUCGUCUUACCCAAAGGAUUCCAAUAAAAUAUUUUAAAACAAAAAACAGAUUGGUCUCAGUGAAAACAAGAUGGUAAGAAAGGUUUAGGGACAUGAAAGGUUAACCACCAGUGAAUGAGCAUCACAGUUGACAUCUAGCUGUACCUCUUUGCAGCCACAUACAAAAAGUAGAUUUGCCACAUAUUGACACCAAUGUUAAGGAUUUCUAGAUUGACUGAUAGUAUUCUAAUAUUUGAGGUUAUUAUGACACCAUUAACACGGACAUCCAAUUUGCCUGUUGAUCAAUUGGUGAAAACAUAGGUUGUCCAGAUAUAUUUUAAAAGAAUAUACUGGUGGUUGCCAGGGGCAGGGAAUGAGGAAAUGAAGUUACUGUUUAAUGGGUAUAGAGUUUCCAUUUUAGAAGAUGAAAAGAGUUCACGGGGAUGGAUGGUGGUGAUGGUUGCUCAAUGUGAUGAAUGUGUUUAUUACCAUUGAACUGUAUGCUUAAAAGUGGUAAAGAUGGGGAGGGGGAUAAAUUGGAAGAUUGGGAUUGGCACAUACAUGCUACUACAUAUAAAGAAGGUAACUAAUAAGGAGCUAUUGUAUAGCACAGGGGACUCUACUGAAUACUCUGUAAUGGCCUAUAUGGGAAAAGAAUUUAACUAAAAAGAGUGGAUAUAUGUAUAGCUGAUUCACUUUGCUGUAUACCUGAAACUAACACGACAUUGUAAAUAACGAUACCCCAAUAAAAUUUUUUUUUAAA